UUUUCUUAGUUCGUUCAGAAGUAUAUUAAUCAUUUUGUCAGUAUAUUGUUAAAUUCAUUCAAGUACAUUUGAUUAAUUAUAUUAUUUUGGUAAAUUAGAGUAUUUAAAUUAAUGAUUUAGUUGGGUUAUAUAAUUUUUAUUAGUAAGUGUGAUUAGAUUCUUUACUUAAUAUAGUAACAUGAAUUUACGGGAUUUAAUCUAGGUAAUUAGUUUUAUUAAAGUAAUAUAAUUAAUCAAUUAACUUGAUUAAUUAGUUUAAUCACUUAGGUUUGGUAGAACCGUAGAAGAUAGUGUCCAGUAGCAACAAAGAUGCAUAUUAGUUGUAUAUUGCACUAUUUAAUUAGUAUUAUUUUUGUACUUAUUAUUUAUUACAUGUAUAUUUAUUUAGGAGAUACGGUAUGAUUUUCCAUAUUUAUUAUGGAGAACGUCCCACAGUUUUGCACGGGAGACUUGUAACAAUUCAGAACUGCCAGCACAUAGAGAGUUCGGUUGAGGUACCUAUUGAUCUAGAUGGCCUGAAAUCACAUAUUAUGCGCCUUUUGCGUGUGAACCAGCAGUCCCAUACUGUUGUCUUAGAGGGUGUACGGCCGCGGCUUGUUCCAAAUAGCUCGGUCAUUGUCCAUACGUUGUUCGAGAUGAGUAGGAACAACGCAUGGGCUUUGUACUCACGCAAGGCAUUGGAGGAGAACUUUGAUAUGGCGGUGUACGUAAACAUAGUGUCACGACUGGUGCAAGGUGAUGCAGUGACCACUGUGGAAGGCUCAAGCCAGGAGGUGAUGCAUGAAGAGGAUGGAGGGCAUGUCGGGGAGGGCAGUUCCAGUAGAGAGGGAGGUAGAGUGGACCCUGGUGAGGUCGAUGCAGGAUGCAUGGAUAAUGAAGACGGUGGUAGCGGGGAUGAAGAAGCUGCUGACAAUGAUGACCCGGUCCCGGCGAUCCAGUACUUUCGUGGUACUGGGCUCCUGGAGUGUGUCGUCGUUGAGUAUAACACCUUAUCUAACUGGGGAUACCAGAAUAGCGACAUUCAGGUCGGGCAACAGUUUCGUAACAGAGGGGAGGUCAUCCACUUUAUUAGCAACUAUGCUGUAAUAACAAGAAGGGACCACAAGUGCGCCCGGUCUAACCCUACGGAGUAUGAGGUCAGGUGUACGAAGCACCCGAAUUGCCCUUACUUCGUACGAGCACAUCAGCCGAAAUAUGAGAACUAUUUUGUGAUUAGUAGACACACCCCACAUACAUGCAGCGAAGAGGCUAUUAGGAAUGUGAGCCACGCCGUUGAUGCGAGGUUCGUAGCCCAACUCCUCAUCACGCUUAUUGGCACAGAAAUUUGUUUAUCGCCAAAAUCGAUUAUGGGGGAGGUGCACACUAAGACUGGCAUGCUUAUCAAUUACCACACCGCGUGGCGAGCGAAGCAGAAGGCGUUGAAGAUGCUGUUUGGAAGCUUCGAAGAGUCAUACAACAAUGCUCCGAGACUGCUGCAGAAGAUUGCCAUGACGAAUCCAGGGACUCAGUGGGCCAUGGCGGAUGAGCCGAUCAGGCUAGAUGAUGGGUCAUAUAGCACCACUGACCGAUACCUCAUUAGGUUAUUCUGGUCCUUUGGACAAUGCAUCGAAGCAUUCAGGCAUUGUAGGCCGGUUGUAUGCGUGGAUGCCACAUUUCUAAGCGGCAAGUUCCAUGGUACCCUUAUGACAGCAAUGGCGGCGGAUGCAAAUAAUCAGAUCAUUCCUCUCGCCUUUGCAAUGGUUGAGAGUGAAAACAAUGAUAGUUGGUUGUGGUUCCUCACCUUGGUAAGGACACGUGUCGUGGGAAAUAGGGAACGAGUUUGCGUCAUCUCAGACCGCAACAAGGGUCUUCUGCAUGCGUUGGACGUGCUGCAUGAUAGCACAAACUGCUCCAUUGCAUGGCCUGAUGUGGAGAGAAGAUGGUGCAUGCGACACUUGGGUGCGAACCUGUACACAAGGUACCGCAGCAAGUCGCUUGUAAAGAGAUUCAAAGGGCUAUGUCUUCAGAACCAGCAGGCGAAGUUCAAUGAGAUAUGGAGAGAGUUAAAUGAGACCACUCGCAAGAUGAUGGCAGACCAGCAAGCAGGGGAGGAUCAACUGCGGGCGCAAAUGGUUGGGGGCCAAACUAUCGUUAGUCGUUCACGUGGUACAUUUAGCCAGUGGAUAGCGGGGAAGCCGGCGGAGCGUUGGGCCCUUAUCCAUGACACUCAUGGUGCCAGGUACUCCAUCAUGACAACGAACAUAGCGGAGGCGUUCAACAAUGUCCUGAAGGGAGUACGGGGCCUCCCGUUGUGUGCCAUUAUUGAGCUCACAUUCUACAGAACGGCGGACUACUUUCGAGACCGUGGUAAUGCUGCUAUGAAGUGCAGCACACGGUUUUCACCUAAGGUGGAGCAAAUCAUAUCAAGAAGGAAGAGCAAGGCACACUUUCAUCGGUCGAGGAUCUACGACUUGGCCAACAAUGACUUUGAGGUCAUGUGCCGCCGUAGGUAUGCUUCAGGGUAUAGCGCCGGGGACACCGUGCAGCAAUGUCAACUUGGACCUAACGAGGUGAAGUGCACAUGCAAUAAGCCAAAACUGCACCAUAUCCCGUGCUCGCAUGUCUUAGCCGCUUGCAGGGACAUAGGUGGCAAUGACGGAUCACAGUACGUAUCACCGUACUUCACGAUCGAUGCAUUGAGAAGCACAUGGCUUCCAAAGAUGCGGUCCUUUAACAUCGGAACCAACUACAAAUCGAUCGAGGGCCCUAAGUGGCUACCUUAUCCACGAGCACGACGCACAGAUCCGGGAAGGCCUAGAUCUACGAGGCUGCAAGGUGACAUGGAUGAAGCAGAUGCUGUUGAUGGCCUUCGCAGGUGCAAACUUUGCAAACAACCUGGACAUGACAGGAGGACUUGCCCGACCCGUCAGUAAACUAUCAGCCCACUGUCAAACUGAACUGUCUUAGAGACUUUGUAUUGUAAAAUGUUAUUCACCUGUUAGUUGUACUACUUAUUGUGCAUUAUGUGGUUUGCACUGUACCCCUUUAGACAAGAAAUGACCAUUGUAUUGUAAAUGUAAUUUUAUUUAUUUAUUUCGUGUUUCUUAAAUAUUCAUGGAUCCGUGUUUUGAUGCAGAGACAGAGCGUAGGUAGUCAGUGAGCAAGAAAUCUAUGGCGGGAUCCUCUAGUACAGGCUUUCCAUGGACACCUGCAACGAUCGCUAUAGCACUUAAUGCCUCCUUACAGGUUGUGCGCGAAGGAAACGAUGAUCCGUUAAAGGAGAACAACAUAAUCCAAGCCGUGGCGAAAUUGCAUGCAAGACCCAUAUGUUCUAGGUUAACCGCGCCACUCCAAUGUGUAACCACCGAGGACCUUAGGGCCCUCUUGUAUCACCGGCGUCAAAUGUAUCUGAGGGUCCGCGAACUGGCCGACCAUCCUUCUGUGAUAGGUUUCUCUAGGAGGCAAAGAACGAUAGUAAUGUCGCCAGACCAGUAUGCAUCCCAUAUUCAGGCUUUCCCGGAAGACGAACAGUUGAUCAACAAAGAAAUCUCACACUUCUUGACGAUGUGUAUGCUCUUCGGCGGGGGUGUGAUGCCUGGUUCGCGUAGAAGACGACGACAGUCAGCGAAUCAAAGGGGUACAGAGGCGACCUCUACGAAUCAUCCAGAUAAUGACGAGGACGAAGACGAUGACGAUUUCAUGCCCCCCAUGCCUAGACGUUCGAACAGAAAUACAGGAGAAAGUUCUAGGAACACUGCAAGAAGACGUUCACGCACAACAUCGAGAUGCCAUACAACUGAUAGGGAAAUAGGACGUGGUACCACCUCGGAGAAACCUCAAGAUGAUGACGACGACGACGAUUUCAUGCCACAACGACCCCGCCCUCCGAGGCUUCCAUCUCCGGAGGACACCGAUGACCCUGAAAAUGAUGAUGGAUUUGCUCGUACUCAUUUUUACAACUUCCCAGAACCACCUCGGAGACGACAACUAUCUUACCCGGAUAGCUUUGACCAUCGCACCUGGAAUUCUUACGCUAAUUUGCGUCGCCACUUUCCUUC